rfam:Vibrio sp. C7 DNA, contig: contig00009, strain: JCM 19233.
CGUGUGGUGUCCAGCGCAGAGUUGGAUAGCGACACGGCCCAAUUGAGGU